rnacentral:misc_RNA from 1 species
UACGGAGGGUGCAAGCGUUACCCGGAAUCAUUGGGCGUAAAGCGUCCCUAGGCUGUUUGUUAAGUUGGUUAUUAAAUCUUGGAGCCCAACUCUGAGGCUGUAAUCAAAACUGGCAAACUAGAGAUUUUCAGAGGCAAGUAGAAUUCUGUGUGUAGGGGUAAAAUCCGUAGAUACACAGAGGAAUACCAAAAGCGAAAGCAGCUUGCUGGGAAAAUUCUGACGCUGAAGGACGAAAGCAUGGGUAGCGAACGGG